rnacentral:misc_RNA from 1 species
GAUGAAGAACGUAGUGAAAUGCGAUAAUUAAUGUGAAUUGCAGAAUUCCGUGAAUCAUCGAGUCUUUGAACGCACAUUGCGCCUCAUGGCAUUCCGAGAGGCAUGCCCAUCUCAGCGUUAGAAAAUAUUCUCAAAUUUUAGUUUUGUGCUAAAAUUUGGAUCAUGUCAAGGAAGCUAUUACUAUUAUUGUGAUCGCUCUUUGGAAAUUGAUAGGUCUUUGAGUUGCUACUCAUAGAACGUGAUGAAUCUUUCUUCGUUCUAUUGUAAUUCACUCUGGUAGUCCUAAAACUUGUAUGCCUGUGGCAUAUCUUGUAAUUUGACCUGAGAUUGGGUAGGGAUACCCGCUGAACUUAAGCAUAUCAAUAAGCGGAGGA